UCUGCAGAGGAACAACGGCUCUGUGACAAAGGUUCCCUGACGCUGCCCAAGGGAGCCCAAAUGUCGAUUCAGGGAAGGAAUGGAGGAAAGCUAUGAGACAUUUGAAGAGGAGUUAUGGCCACCGAGAGCAGAACCUCCUCCACAGAAGCCUGUUCGACAGAUCCGCAGACCAGACAUGUAUCCUACCAGGAAAAUCAGAGAGGAAGCAGCUGCAGCUCCACAGCAACCGAGAGCAGAACCAAAGAUUUUACCCAGAGAACCCAGCAUCCCUAGAGCAGGCGAGUCAUUCCUCCUUAACCAUUAUCAGAUCUGAGUACAACACACACACGUCCUCAUCGCUGUUUUUGUUUAAUCUUUCCUUUAGUCUCUUUGCACAAAACCUUGUCAAUCCAGAAUUUGACCGACAUCGAGAAACCGUGGGAGAAUGUGACUCUAAACCGCUGUCUGUUUGUGGCCAUCACCAUCCUGGUGCUCACCUCAGGCCUUCAGAGAC